CCCUGAAGUCGCGCCGUCUCUUUAAGGUGUAUGAGGAGAUGUCUGAGUAGAUGGUUGUUCCUCUAUAUGCUACAGGCAUUUCCUUCCGUUUUCUGUUUGCAUUCAAGAUAACUUCUUUAGCAUGAAAGUAAUGCAUUCUGAGCAGGGUAUCUCUCGGUGUAUCUGGGGGUAAGAAUUUAGGUCCUCCUGCAGUCCUAUGGAUCCUGUCUAGCAGGAGCAGGUCCAGCGGUAAGUCCAGAGCAAGUUCUUUUAGUAGGCCCGUGACAUGGGCGUUAAGGUCUUCAUUUUUAACAGUUUCUGGUAUCCCCCUUAUACAGAGGUUGUUGCGGCUUGCUCUGUCUUCCAUAUCCGCUAUUUUAAGGUCUUG